rnacentral:rRNA from 1 species
AUUGAACGCUGGCGGCAUGCUUUACACAUGCAAGUCGAACGGCAGCGCGGGCUUCGGCCUGGCGGCGAGUGGCGAACGGGUGAGUAAUACAUCGGAACGUGCCCAGUAGUGGGGGAUAGCUCGGCGAAAGCCGGAUUAAUACCGCAUACGACCUGAGGGUGAAAGCGGGGGAUCUUCGGAGCUCGCGCUAUUUGAGCGGCCGAUGGCAGAUUAGCUAGUUGGUGGGGUAAAGGCCUACCAAGGCGACGAUCUGUAGCUGGUCUGAGAGGACGACCAGCCACACUGGGACUGAGACACGGCCCAGACUCCUACGGGAGGCAGCAGUGGGGAAUUUUGGACAAUGGGCGAAAGCCCGAUCCAGCAAUGCCGCGUGUGUGAUGAAGGCCUUCGGGUUGUAAAGCACUUUUGGCGGGAACGAAAAGGACUGUGCCAAUACCACGGUUCGAUGACGGUACCCGCAGAAUAAGCACCGGCUAACUACGUG